UGCAGAAAGUGUCUUAUGAACACUGAACGUUCCAUGAAACCAACAAAAAAAAAACAACAACAAAACGAGAGAGAGAAUAAAAUAUGAUCUCAAUGUAUUUUGAUAUUUUGUUGCCAUGGAACACUUUGAUUGAAUCGUUUAACAUUUCUCUAGUUGAUAAUGUAUGUCCAACACUAAACAAAAAAACUACUAACAUCAUCCAUAUGACUUUCCACAGAGAAGUCAGCAGUAUGUCUAAAUGUAAAGUACUAAGUACUCAUCUUUGUUGAUGAUCAUUUUUUUCACUUAGUGCUCUACAAGGUAACAGUGAACAGUCUCGUCAAAUUUUACAGUUCAUCUGACACUUUUAUUUUUCAUCAGUACAAUAUGACUUGUGACUUUAUGCUUUGCGGCAGUGAGGUUUGAACUUCACUGGGUACGUCAGAGAAGAUUUUAACGAACGUUCUUAAAGCAGUAAGAUUCUACUAAUAACUUCUUUCUGUCACGGGAUGAAUACCUUUGUGAAGCGAUGUUGUAUAUGUAUCACACACAUAUCUAUCUAGAAGAGUUAUUACCAGUAUACAGGCAUUGUCAGUGCACUUUUAGGUGUUCUCGGAGUGUUCCCACACGUGCCUGUCCUUUGUACUCAUCAACCGAAUCUGUAACCUGUCCGCUAGAAGUCUGGGCUUUUUUAAUACCUGACGUUUAGAUAUAUGGAGUUCAGCAGUAACUGUGAUCUUUAAAAUCCCCGUUUUGGUUACAAUGCACUAGUAUACAUUGUAUGGAAGACAGACACAUGCUCCGGAAACAAGUCAGAGGGGUUUAACAAAUUCUGCACCAUUUUUACAUUUGAAUACGUUUUAUAUCUUUUCUUUGUAAUGCAUUAACUUACAUUUACAUUCUUAAUGUUUUUGCCUUUGAUAUCUUUACACAUUGCAAUGUGAUAAUAGCUAUUUCAUCAUAAAUACGUUCGUUAUUUCCUCAUAAAUGUGUUGCAGAUGUGAAUAAUGCGCGUAUGAAUCUUGAUAAAUAUAGUUCGUCUUCUUUACUUUAACAGCUGGUGAUUCCAGUGGAUAUAAAAGUAGAAUGUACAUAUAAGAAAUCAAUUUCAGUUUCCAAAAUACAUAGGGGCAUGAACUGCGAUGCUUCACGCCGACAUACUCUACAUGUAGUGCUAAAUCGCUUCAUGAAAUACGUCAGCGGGAAGCGUUGCGGUUCAUAGUCUCAUGUACAUGUAUUUUCAAAAAUGAAAUAUAUUUUUUGAAUAACACUGAUCGAAAUUCUUUAUAGGCUCAAGGAUUCUAGGUAAGGCCUACAAAGAUGUGCAUUGUAUUGAGUUUCAUAGUGCUAUCGCUGUGGAUAAGAUGGAGUCCUCGACACCAGUGUGUUGAUCAUCACUGAGCAUAUCAGGAUUGAAGAUUUAUGAUCGAAUGUCAAACAAACGGGUAGGCGGAUGAAAGAGCACCACACUUAUCCGGGUAUUAGGUAGGAUACAGAGAAUUCGCAAGACAUUCUGGAGUGGGACGGUUAUCAUAGGUCAAAUAUGAACUGUAUGAUAUCUUCUGACAAAUUUACAUUUUCUUUGUAGAUAGAGAAAAUUUGUAUUUAUCAUUUUGCGAUAUUUUAUGUUAUUUAAAUGGUAAUAAAUUGAUUAUCAACA